UCUGAUGUGGGUUUUUUAGGCAAUGAACAUUUUCUUUAAGCUUUUAGAUUUUUUUUGGUUAAUUUUGUUAAAAUAAAUUGCUUUGUGUUAUAUAAUUUGUAAUUCUUUUUUGUUAGUUUGAAAUUGAAUUCUGGGUUCAAGAGGUUAUUGUGUUAAGUAACUAUGUGUUUGCUUGUUUCAGUGUUUGCAUCGGUGUUACAGUUCUUCACUUUCCUUCUCAUUUGAUACAAUUAAACUAAAAAAAAAAAUUAAAAUUUUCACAAAAGUUACUAUAAUAUAUUUCUUUUUAUGGGUGAUGGUUCGUUGAUUAUUCAUUAUUUCAAUGUCAAUUCUUUUUUUUUGGCACCAGUUAAACAGGCAUUGAAAAACCAGUACUUGCUUGCAAAAGAAGAACCAUAUCGGUUCUACGUGUCUUUUGAUUCUUCAAUUGUUAUCAAAUGCUUGCUCAUGUUGUCCAGAUGUUCCCAAAUGAUGUUUACCUAGGCGAUAUCAUCGAUGCUGCAAAGUCUUUCAGGCUAUGAUUUGAAUUGCCUUGUUAUGGAGCAUAUAUUGAAAUGUUGCUGGCAGCUAUCCUCUAACUUAAGGGUGCGGGGGACACAGUCUUCAUUGGAGUGGUUUGUGGGAAAAGUACAAGACGUGUUUAUCUAAGUACUUUGAGGCGAUCUAUAGUGAAGAGUACAAAUAAAUCAAGGCAUUCGAUCAAGUACUUUUAGAGAGAUAAGACAAUGGUAGCUCACUGGGUGGGGGAAUUGAUGCAUUCAUAAAGCUGUCUCAAAGUUAGCCGCUAUCAAAAUAAUCUCCAUUCAAUGUUGUAUAUACUUACUAAAAUUUGAAGUCUAUGUUCCAAAUUCUGAGGAAAUCGUUGGUAGAGAUAUCACCGGGAUGAGAUCCUGGUACAAGAUACAUCUCAUCAUCUGUGGAUAAAUGUUAGUUAUGUUUCUGUUAGUAGCUUUUGUACUAGUGUAAUUUUCAUUACAUAAAUCAGUUAUGGAGAGAGCCUAGUGAUUUGAUUAUGAUAAUUGAUUUCCACAGUAAGAUGUACAAGUUUUGGUUCUCCAGGACCAGAUCUCCAUUGCAAUGAUGGGGAAAGUUAAGAGGAAAACAUUGUCAAGGGUCAUAUAUAUAGUGAAAGGAUUAACUGAAGCAUUUGUUUUUAAUUUAUACUAGAUAUUCUGUC